AGACCGACCCCUCCUGUCCUGCCCACCCGGUCCGGAUCCAGCCCCAACCCACCACCCCACCAGCUCCACUUCCCUCCGGUUUCCGCCGCCCGCCGAAGCCGUCUCCGGCAAGGACCCGACCGGCGCCACCGCCUCUUCCCCGGCGGCCCGCCCGCGGCCAGGCGCUCCCUUUCCUCCCUCCCCGCGCUCUGGCCGUGGCCGGUCUGCUCCUCCUCUCUUCGUCCGGGGCCCCGGGCCGUGCCUCUCGCCUCGCCUCCUCGCGUCCGGUUUGGAUUUGCUCGUCCUCGAUUCGUCGCCCGUCCAGGUUCAGAACCGCGCCUGAUUUGGUUUUCGCUCGUGCUCGAUUCGCCCGUUUGGAAUUGCGCCUGGUUUGAUCUUGCUCGUCCUCGCCGUCGUCCGUUUGGGGUCGCGUCCGGUUCGAUUUUGCUCGUCGUCCUCUCGCCGCCGUCGUCCGUGUAGGGUCGCUUCUGGUUCGAUUUCGCUCGCCCUCGCCGUCGUCGUCCGUUUAGGGUCGCGUCCGAUUCGAUUUUGCUCGUCCUCGCGUCGUCGUCCGUGUAGGGUCGCUUUCCAUUCGAUUUCGCUCGUCCUCGGCGUUGUCCCGAUGCUCUCGCGUGUUCUUGGUCCGUCUCGUUUGAGAACUAGCAAUUCUGUCUGCGUGCGCUUCUGUUAUCCGAGAGGCACUCUGGUUCCUGGGUUUCGUGUUCGCGUCGGUUGCAGGAACGAACGGGUCUGGUUUCGAAAUUAGAUUACGGCCGGAGACGGGGAGCAGUGUUCGUUUAUCGUGCUAGUUCAGAUCAGUUCCUCCGUUCCGUCACCUACGUUGCUCUUGGUGAUUUUUCAGAGCUCAAACGUAUGCUCUCUUGUGAUACUCUGUCAGUUCUUGGCCCUCUGUCAGUUCUUGUUGGCCCUCUGUCAAUUCUUGAGUUCCAGGGUCUGUUAAUUCCUGACUUCUUGUCGUACCGGCUAGGCGUGUGUGCGCUCUCAUCCUAGAUUCAGAGAUGGGGUGAUUUUCCUUACGCUUGAUCUGAUGGUGUAUAUUGUUUAUGUUCUUUCCAGUUUGUUUCUUUUUAUCAUGCUUUGCUUGUGUGUUGAGCAGAAAAGUUUUACAAGAGUGCAAACCAUGAGGCCUGCUGCUUGACUAAUUGAACACCUGCUGUUGCUACUGUUGGACAAGGUCCCUUCUUUUCUUCCUGAUGCUGCUAUUUCCAUUUAACUACUCAUAGGAGUUCUAGAUGAGCUGCUGCGAGUUAGUUCCCCUUAGACUACAUUCUAGAUUGCAUAGCAUAACUCCAGAAUUUUGUGAUUGCACACCACCUUGGCAUAUAAUUCUGUUGUGAGCAUAACUCUAGAAUUUAUUUAUCCGCGAAAGCACGUUCAUCACAUGUUUUUUUAUCAAUGCUGCUAACUUCUGUCAUGCCCCUUUCCUUUUGGACAACAAUUUCAACGAACCUAUAACGUGGACAUGUCCUGCUUGUUUUCUUGUGAUGAUGGUGAUCCAAUUGAGUAGCUCAACUCUUAUGCUCUGACAUUUGUUAAUCCCCAGUUAGUGUGCAUGAAAAGUUAUUGUUUGUCAUGUUAAAUUUUAUGGCAUCAACUCGGUAUUGUGAUUAAUGACUUAGUAUUUGUUUAGUGUAGACAGUUGACUUCUUUUCUCUUAAUUAUUUAGUGAUAUGCGUGUUUUGUUAUGUCUUAUGGGGAUAACUAAUGUCCAGUCAAUGGAAAAUGCUUUUCUUGCUUUCCCUAGACUUUGUGACAACUAACUUAUAGUGCGAUCAUUGAUCAUUGAGCUUCUGACACCUUAUUCCGUAAAAUUCUGUUGUGAUGUUUCCUGGAUCAUUGAGUAGUUAAUAUUGAUUUUGAGUUUGUCGGAUCAUUAACUUCUGCGUGCGCUUCGGUUAUCUGAGAGACACUCACGAUCUUGUGUUUCGUAUUCGUGGCGGAGCGAUGAACGAUUACGUUUCGUGUCCCUGUGUUUCGUGUUCACCCAUCUGACUUUGAAUUUGGAUUACGGAGACGGGGAGAGGCCAAAGCAAGGUCAGUUUAUCGUGUUCGCUCAGAUCGGUUCCUCGGUUCCGUCGCUGCGUUGUUCGUCGGCGAUUUCCAGACCUCAAAUGCAUGCGCUCUUGUGAUACUCUGGUUUGGCUCGCUGGUCGUUAUGGUUGUUCGUUACGGUUGUUCUUAUGUUCUUGAAUCACCCAUCUUAUAAGCAGAGAUGGGGUGAUACAUUAUGGUUGCUCUGAUGGUUGCUUAUUUAGUGUUCUUUCCAAUUGGGUUCUUCUUGUCAUGCUUUGCUUAUGUUCCCAAUGUCUGUCUUUCCAUAUAUGGGGAUGCGUUCAGGGGUGCAAACCGUGUAGGCCAUGGUGUGUUUUAUACUAGCUAUGGUGUGUUUUAUACUAUCUGAUGUGGAAGGUGGAAAUAUUGAUAUCACUUCUGUGCUAGUAUACUUGAUAUGGUGUGUUUUAUUUAAGUAAUUAACCACAUCUCUUACAAAUUUUCCUUGAGAUACAUGUUUAUAUGGCAGGAGUGAUUGUCUUGAUGAAUAAUCAUUUAUGCUAACUUGGUAUUGGUAGUCCCUGAUCAUAGGUAACAGACCAGUACUUGUUUAGUGCAGACAACUGACGGUUCUUUUUUUCUGAACUUUUUUGUAAUAUGUCUGUUAUGUGGAUAUCAUAUUCUAAUGCUUUUCUAAGUAUUUAAGGUACAGACAUGUGGAUCUGGACAUUUCACAUUUGCUCUUUAUUGUGUUGCUAAAGACACUGAACGGUUUGUCUGGCCACCGCACAGCCCAGCUAAUCAGGUUGUAGUGAUUAGGGAGAAGCUUGCAGAACUGUAUGAAUUUGAACAAAAAUGGUCGAGAGCAGCACAAAUGCUUAGUGGCAUUGACUUGGACUCAGGAAUCAGGAUGCUUGAUGACAAACAAAUUAUCCAAGUGCGUCCAGAUUGCACGACUCUAUUUGGAGGAUGAUGAUGCAGUGAAUGUUGAAGCUUUUAUCAACAAAGCCCAUUUUUGGUCACAAACAGCAACCAGGAAGUUCUGAACUUGCAAUACAAGGUAUGCUAUGCGAGAAUUUUAGAUCUAAAGCGUAAAUUCUUGGAAGCUGCACUUCGAUACUAUGGUAUCUGUCAAAUUGAGCAAUGCCAAAUUGGGGAUGAAUAGAUUGAUGAAAAUGCUCUUGAGCAAGCUCUUAGUGCUGCUGUAACAUGCACAAUAUUGUAACUGAUGAGAGGUACUCCCAAGGCGUCGACCACACGGCCUAACAACAGCUGAAGAACUCUCUUUGGGACAAGGGCAUCAUCAAAGCAAAGAAAUCAGAAGAAGAAGCAGUCAGUAAUGCAAUGCGAGACAAGUGUCAUGUCUAUCUUUUUGAUCAGAGGUUGAAUCGAUCAUCAGAAGAAGAAUUAGGCCAAAAAUUAGGAUACAUUUUGGGAAAAUGAAACUUCCAUUGAAGAGAAGCAAAUGAAACGCUUUCAUAAAAAUUCUCGUAGAAUCGAGAAUGAAGUUUUCAUUCUGUACAUGCCAGAUCAUGAAUUAGUAACUGCAUCCAAUCUCCGAAAAGUCUCAAAAGAAUUUCGUUUGUAGGAUUCAGUCGUCCGUUUGUUUUGUUUUGAAUUGACAUAGAGAAAUCUUUCUCGCGUGGGGCUUGUACUGGGCCUGAUUACAACAUUUUGCAACAGCUCCUCUACUAUCCUUUCAAUCUCUGUUUUCUGGGUGAUAGCAUUUCGCCGACAGAUAACAUGCCGUGGAUCUGAUGUGGCGCUAAAACUUCAUGAUAGAUCAAAUCCUGAUUACGACUGGAGAGGGACAUUGAUGUUCCCUCAUUCUUUUCCGUUUCCACGCUCUGAAAUGAAUCUUUCUAGAAUCCUUUUCUCUUGAAUAUCAGUUUAAGAGAGUUUCGGAUUGCCCAGUGGGAAGUCAUGAGGCUAGCCCCCCUGAAUGAAGAAGUAGUGGGGCCCCCUGCCCGCCCACGUAUGCGCGGCUGUAGUAAAUAGCUUACACGACUGAUCAGGCUCAUCAACCUAUGGAACCUCACGCUAUGUUGCUAUGAUUCUUUUAUCACGUCCGACUCUAAGUGGAAAGUCUUUCUCAUCUACCUCUUCCAUCCAAAACCGUUUUUCCGCAUUUUUUUCUGACCGACCCAGAGACUAAUCUAUCGUUGGCCCAAGCAAAGAGUGAGAAAAAGCAGCAAAAGGAGUAGCUUUCCCUUUCCAUAUGAAAAAUGGAGAGGAAAAGCAUGGGUGGACCAAGCGUUUUAACCGGAAUCUAGUGACGGAGAAAGAAGAAAAGAUUUUCGUUGCCAGCUAAAUCAAUCAAUUUGACAAGAUCCUGCAUCAAUCACCUCACAGCAUAGCAACAGAUAAUUCCGAAUCUACAUAGGUCUAGUCCAGGGGACAAAUCAAUAGGGUGCAACUCUUUCUCUUUUGCCCUUUAUGCCAGCCUGUUCCCUCCGCGUAUGUCUAGAAUCUUGUUAGGAUUCGUCUAUUCCAGGUCAGGAAAGAGCUUCUGUAAACUAUCGUGAUUAGCAUAGAACACCGGUCUCCGCAGCACCAGGAUAAAGACCUUCUUUUUACCCAUAACCUUUCUCUUUCUCAAUUCUCUAUGGCGUCUAGUAGAUAGAAACAAGAAAAUCAGAAGAAUCUUUCUCUCUAUUC